rnacentral:sRNA from 1 species
GAAGAUCAUAUUCCUUUUGUGGUGCAAUUGGAGUUUGUUAUCGUAUGCGGUGCUUUUCGUUGUAUGGCCAUAUGAAGCUGCAGAUGCAAAUAUUUCUUAAGGUACAUGACGAUCCUUCUAACGCUCCAGUUUGAUGGUCCAACUCAAUGGGUGACCCUUACGCCACUUGGGGGGACUGCUGGUAGAGAUCAUAGCAAUUGAUGUAAGUCCCUUACUUCUGUAAUACGGUACUUGGAGUGACUGCUGGUAGAGCUCAUAGCAAUUGCUGCACUCAUUGCACUAAAAAAAGGUUCCCGGUUAAUCAAGUAUAGCCUGAAAGGGAAGCCAAAACUUCGUCCAUUCAGAAUUUCUACUCACUCAAUGUCAGAUUUUAAGAUCAACGAAUCAGCUCACUGCUGCGGUCGAAGUUGGGGAAGGUGAUGUGAUGUUAGAAAUUAGGCUGCGAACAGGUUCUUUGACCAAUGUUCUUAUUAAUGCUGGUGCAUUUGUGCUCGCAAUCAAAAAGUGUUAUAUGGGCUUUAGGAUCCACACAUGGCUACUCAUGUGAGUGAGAGAUUUGCGGAGACUGACCGGUUCAAGGUUUUGAAAGAGGACUUUGUCAAAUGUCGCAUUCACUCAUAUGUGGUGUCGUUGUUGGCAUGUGCAGAGCCAUCGGUCUCACCGCCACGAUCUUCCACGAUUCCAUUUUUCCUUUCUUUUAAUUUAUUUUUAAAUUUUAAAAGUUUUUGUUGAUGGUUUGUUUGUGGAAAUGGAUGAAAUCAGGUGUUGGAUUAAACUGUACCUUCCUCAACACAAAAAAAAAAAAAAAAAAAAGGAUUGAUCCAUGGAGACUGCAAUUUGUGGGAGAAUCCCUCUCCCCCAACCAUGUCUUCAACCCCAAACCAGAUUCUCUCCAUUUUUCUCAAUUCUUUCCCUCUUUUCAGAUUUUGGGUUUCCCUCAAAAUCUUUGAUUUCUUCAUCAAUUAACAUGAACUGCCAAGGGUCAACACUUGAGAAGGUGAUUUGGGUGGA